GCUUGUUCUCGGGGCGGGGUGAAACUCCCCACCGGCGGUAUGAAGCGAAAGUUUCGAGCCCGCGAGCGCCUGAAAAGAUGCCGAUUCGGCUUUGUUCAGGGUCAGCAGAUCCGGUGAGAUGCCGGAGCCGACGGUUAAAGUCCGGAUGGAAGAGAGCGAAU
rnacentral:ncRNA from 21 species